CCACACCAUGUAUGGCACAUUAGGGAUUUUGGUGGAAUUCUUCAGUCUGUCAGUGGCAAGCAGUGGUCAAACAGCCCCAGGUUCUACUCUAGUGAGGGAUAUGGCUUUCAGAUCAUCGGUUUAUUCCAGCCAGGUGCUUUUGGAGUCUUUUUCCGACUUGCUUCUGGAGCCAAUGAUGAUAACCUGCAGUGGCCAUGUCUAAACAGACAGAUCACUUUUCAGCUUUUAGAGCAGAGAUCCAGUAUCCUGCAGCGCAUGUCCAAACAGCUCAGCUGGACUCUGUCAACAACACAAAACUUUACAAGGGAUGGACAGACACAUUGCUAUUGGGACAAUCCUCGUAUAGUGGGACGACAGUAUUCAGACUCAGAGGGCGUGUACCACGCAGGACCUUUCUAUGGCCAUUCCUAUUUCUUAAGCAGCGACAUCAUCAUGGAAGGGGAUUUCAUCCGAGCAGGAGAUGCAUUUCUGUUGAUCAACUUUGAAGAUGUGUUGAAUCAAAUCAGCCCAAUUCUUCCGACUCCAAUGCCUGAAUCAAGUGUCAAUCUUCCCAGCCUGAUCGACAACCUUAGUCCAUGUGUAUACCAGGAGCUAUCAACUGACUGUCCAACUGCUUCAGCUGUCUGCACAUCAUCACAAUCCGUCUCCUUCCUGGCAGUCAUAGCUGUGAUCCUGUUAAUUCACUGGGGAUAGAUUACAGCAGUUUUUCUUAAUAAACAACACCAAAUGGUCUACCUUACUAUGACCUACCUUGUGUUUAACUACCCA
ensembl:lncRNA